UACGGAGGGUGCAAGCGUUAUCCGGAUUUACUGGGUUUAAAGGGUGCGUAGGCGGGCAUGUAAGUCAGUGGUGAAAUACCGGAGCUUAACUUCGGAACUGCCAUUGAUACUAUAUGUCUUGAAUAUUGUGGAGGUAAGCGGAAUAUGUCAUGUAGCGGUGAAAUGCAUAGAUAUGACAUAGAACACCGAUUGCGGAGGCAGCUUGCUACGCAAAUAGUGACGAUGAGGCAAGAAAGCGUGGGGAGCAAACAGG
rnacentral:rRNA from 1 species